rnacentral:rRNA from 1 species
UGGGGAAUCUUGGACAAUGGGGGAAACCCUGAUCCAGCCAUGCCGCGUGAGUGAAGAAGGCCCUAGGGUUGUAAAGCUCUUUCAGCGGGGAAGAUAAUGACGGUACCCGCAGAAGAAGCCCCGGCUAACUCCGUGCCAGCAGCCGCGGUAAUACGGAGGGGGCUAGCGUUGUUCGGAAUAACUGGGCGUAAAGCGCACGUAGGCGGAUUGGAAAGUUAGAGGUGAAAUCCCUGGGCUCAACCCAGGAACUGCCUUUAAAACUAUCAAUCUAGAGUUCGAGAGAGGUGAGUGGAAUUCCGAGUGUAGAGGUGAAAUUCGUAGAUAUUCGGAGGAACACCAGUGGCGAAGGCGGCUCACUGGCUCGAUACUGACGCUGAGGUGCGAAAGUGUGGGGAGCAAACAGGAUUAGAUACCCCCGUAGUCC